rnacentral:lncRNA from 1 species
AGUGUGGUUAGAACGCAGGCAGGGAGGGGUGGAAACAAUGUCAGUCGCGGGAGUUGUCUGAGGGUUUGCACAGAGGAGUGAGGAGAUCCACCUCAGACUGAUGCCGUGAGACCAGACUGAAGGUGGAGGAGGCAGCAUGGAAAUGGAGACCAGUCAGAAGGCUGAGAGUCUAGGCAAGGUGAGGAUGGCUCAUCCCGGUGGUGGCUGUGAGGGAGGAAGUGAGACUCCCCUGAGCGCACCAGGCUGCAUGCAGCUCAGGCCACGUGGAGAAGCCAUGGAGAAUGAGACACACCCUGGAGGAGAGCAUGGCCAAGAAGCACCAGAUAAGUGACGAAGAAGCUUCUCAGAGGCGGCUCUCCCGGCUCCAGCUCCCCAAUGGCCAUCAUGUGGAGUCAAGAAGAACCGUUCUGUUGAGCCCUCUCCAAAUUCCUGACCCACAAAAUUGUGAGCAAACUAAAACAGCUAAUUGAAGUCCCUAUGUUUUGGAGCACUUUGUUAUACAGCAGUGGAUAACUGCAACAUGACCCAACAGCCAGCAAGAUCUUUUAAAAAUGGAAACCAAACAAUGCCACUCCUCAACUUCAAGCUCUCCAGUGGCUUCUUAUUACAAAAUCUGGACUUUUCACCAUGGCCUGCAGGGCUCUGGACAGUCUGGGCCCUGUCCCCAUUGCCACUCCCUUCCUCCCUGGGCUCCAUCCACACUGUCCUCAACCCUCCAGCACAGUAAGUGCCUGCUCACAUUCCUUCUUCCUGAGACACUCCGCAUCUCUUCUCAUCUCCUGGUCUCUGCUAAGAUGUCAUCUCCUCCACUUUACACCCAUCUGGGUGCCUGUUAACAAGAAAACAGGAAAUAACAAGGGUUGAUGAAGAUGUGGAGAAGUUGAAAUCCCGAUACAUUUUAUAUGAUACAUGUACUAUAAAAUGAUACACUUUAUAGUAAGAUGGCACUGUUCUGCUGCGGAAAACAGUAUGGUGUUUUCUAAAAAAAUUAAACAGAAUUACUGUAUGACCUGGCAAUUUCUCUUCUGGGUAAAUACUCAAAAGAAUUGAAACCAGAAUCUCACAGAGAUAAUUGUAUGCCCAUAUUCGUAGCAGUAUUAUUCACAGGAGCUAAGGGGUGGGAGCAACCCAAGUGUCCAUGACAGAUGAAUGGAUGAGCACAUGUGGUCUAUCCACACAAUGGGUAUUACUGAGCCUUCAAAAGGAAGACAAUUCUGCACAUGCUACAACUUGGAUGAACCUUGAGGACAUUAUGCUGAGCGAUAUAAGCCAGUAAAAAAAGGAAAAUACUGUAUGACUCCACCUAUAUGAGGUACUAGUAUAGUCACAUUCCUAGAGACACAAAGUAGAAUGGUGGGUGCCAGAAGAGGAGGGAAUGGGGAGUUAGUGUUUAGUGGGGACAGAGUUUCAGGUUUGCAAGAUGAAAAAAGAUAGAGACACAUGGUGGUAAUGGCUGCACAACAAUGUGAAUGUGCUUAAUGCCACUGAACUUAAAAAUGGUUAAGAUGAUAAAUUCUGUGUUAUGUAUAUUUUACCACAAUAAAAAAUACGAA